CAGGGGAUAAGUAGCAGAUCUGGCUGGGCCUGCUGAGCUGGGGAAUGACAACCUGUAUACGGAAACUUCUCAUCACACACUGAGAGGAAACAAUAAGGAUGUGUGGCUUACCUUGUCUUCACAACAUCGAGGGGAUGCAUCAAGCAGAUCUCAACCAGACCUAACAAGUAAAAGCAGACAUGAUGAGAAGAGCAGUGCCACUACACUUCCUGAUGCUACUCAAUGGUUUUGGAAUGUGGCCUGCAAAAACACCAGCAUGCAUUUCACAGAAUUUCAGAACUGUGAUUAUCAAUUUUACUAUUUAAAGUCAAAUAGUUGAGCAGCUCUUCGAGUUUCAUGUUAUGUGCUAUCUUUGCCAGAAUGUGGGUCUGAACAAAUGAUCCAGUAAAACUUUUUUCCAAAAUAUUUCUGAGUGACAUUAACUCUCAACAUUUUGAAGCCACCAACCAUGUCAUGUAUGCAAACCCAGAACAUCUGCGAAUGUGUCAGCAGCUGGAGAACCAAUGCAGUCAGAGGAUCAUUUAGAAACUUUGAGGUUUCACAUACAUGCUAACUGUGUGCAUCUGUGUUGAAAAGCCACUGCUCUGGCAUGGAGGCCUUUUGACUGAAUGUUUUUCUUUUCAACUCUCUUUUCUUUCUUUGAUUCUCACUGCAUCCCCUCACUGGUGCUCUGAUGGCUUCCCUUGCAGAUUCCACAGUGUGUGUACACAGCUGCUGUGCAAUAUGGGGUCUUUUCUAAUUUGCUCAAUUAAACAUAUUGUCU